UUCAGAAAAAAAAGAGUUUAUUAUUUAUUGGUCCUCAGUCAUGCAUAAAGAACUAAAAUUAAUUAAUUGAUAAAGAAGAUUAAUCACCAAGUAGCGGGCAGCAGGAUUCUGCUCAGAAUCUUCAACCUCGAGCUUCAUCGGCGGCGGAGCAAUCGGCUUAGGAUCCGAAAAUUUCACCAUCUCUCGUUUCUUGCUUGCUUCUGCAGCUUCUCUUUCUUCACCUUCACUUUUAUUUCUCUCUUGCUUAUUAUUAAAUAUUGGAGCAGAAAAUAAUAAGUUUGUAAAGUGUGCGAACAGGUUUUUGGGUUCUUUUGAGUCUUUAUUUUCGCUCUCAAUUUGUGUGUCUUGUGCAGCCAUGAAUGCGAAUGUGGUGAGUAGAGACCAGAGAAUAAUUAAGCUUUGAGCUUCGAGUUUAUCAAAGCUUUUGUUUGGGUUCUUGAAACUGAAAUAACUUUUUUUUUUGCUU
rnacentral:lncRNA from 1 species